UACGUAGGGUGCGAGCGUUAAUCGGAAUUACUGGGCGUAAAGCGUGCGCAGGCGGUUCGUUGUGUCGGCGGGGAAAGCCCCGGGCUUAACCUGGGAAUGGCCGUUGAAACUGGCAAACUGGAGUGUGGCAGAGGGGGGUGGAAUUCCGCGUGUAGCAGUGAAAUGCGUAGAGAUGCGGAGGAACACCGAUGGCGAAGGCAGCCCCCUGGGCUAACACUGACGCUGAGGCGCGAAAGCUAGGGGAGCAAACAGG
rnacentral:rRNA from 1 species